rnacentral:piRNA from 1 species
UAAGUAGCCAAAUGGUAACUGAGACCCACUGU